CAGUCGCCACGGGAAUACGUAGGGUGCAAGCGUUAAUCGGAAUUACUGGGCGUAAAGCGUGCGCGGGCGGUUCCGCAAGUCAGAUGUGAAAUCCCCGGGCUCAACCUGGGAACUGCAUUUGAAACUACGGGGCUAGAGUGUGUCAGAGGGGGGUGGAAUUCCACGUGUAGCAGUGAAAUGCGUAGAGAUGUGGAGGAACACCAAUGGCGAAGGCAGCCCCCUGGGAUGACACUGACGCUCAUGCACGAAAGCGUGGGGAGCAAACAUGAUUAGAUACCCCCGUAGUCCCUGUCUCUUAUAC
rnacentral:rRNA from 1 species